rnacentral:rRNA from 1 species
AUUGAACGCUGGCGGCAGGCCUAACACAUGCAAGUCGAACGGUAACAGGAAACAGCUUGCUGUUUCGCUGACGAGUGGCGGACGGGUGAGUAAUGUCUGGGAAACUGCCUGAUGGAGGGGGAUAACUACUGGAAACGGUAGCUAAUACCGCAUAACGUCGCAAGACCAAAGAGGGGGACCUUCGGGCCUCUUGCCAUCGGCUGUGCCCAGAUGGGAUUAGCUAGUAGGUGGGGUAACGGCUCACCUAGGCGACGAUCCCUAGCUGGUCUGAGAGGAUGACCAGCUACACUGGAACUGAGACACGGUCCAGACUCCUACGGGAGGCAGCAGUGGGGAAUAUUGCACAAAGGGCGCAAGCCUGAUGCAGCCAUGCCGCGUGUAUGAAGAAGGCCUUCGGGUUGUAAAGUACUUUCAGCGGGGAGGAAGGGAGUAAAGUUAAUACCUUUACUCAUUGACGUUACCCGCAGAAGAAGCACCGGCUAACUCCGUG